rnacentral:rRNA from 1 species
AUUGAACGCUGGCGGCAGGCUUAACACAUGCAAGUCGAGCGGGGGAAGGUAGCUUGCUACCGGACCUAGCGGCGGACGGUGAGUAAUGCUUAGGAAUCUGCCUAUUAGUGGGGGACAACAUCUCGAAAGGGAUGCUAAUACCGCAUACGUCCUACGGGAGAAAGCAGGGGAUCUUCGGACCUUGCGCUAAUAGAUGAGCCUAAGUCGGAUUAGCUAGUUGGUGGGGUAAAGGCCUACCAAGGCGACGAUCUGUAGCGGGUCUGAGAGGAUGAUCCGCCACACUGGGACUGAGACACGGCCCAGACUCCUACGGGAGGCAGCAGUGGGGAAUAUUGGACAAUGGGGGGAACCCUGAUCCAGCCAUGCCGCGUGUGUGAAGAAGGCCUUAUGGUUGUAAAGCACUUUAAGCGAGGAGGAGGCUACUUUAGUUAAUACCUAGAGAUAGUGGACGUUACUCGCAGAAUAAGCACCGGCUAACUCUGUGCCAGCCGCCGCAGUAA